GCAUCUUCACAAAUCUUUUUCCUGAAAUUCUCUUUUCAUCCACUUACUAUCAUAUCAUCCAUCAACGAAUAUUUUGCUUUAUAUUGAUCAGCCAAUCUAUUUAUUCAAAUCAAAAUUGAAAUAAGAUUUAUGUUUACCACAUGUAAUUAAAUAAAAAAACACGAGAAACUAUUCUACUUUCAAUUGAUUUUAUUCAACAAUUGACCAAAAUAAAAUAUUAAUAAAUAAUAAAUUGCAUGAACUUAGAUCAAUCAAAUAAUGAUAUUUCUAUGCAUAUGCAAUAAUUCACCCUAAUUAAUUUGCUCAUUUAGAUUGUUUUCGGGUGCAAUAAUGAUAAAGAAAGUGGAAGGGAGAAAAGAAUUUACCAAAAUCGGGGUUCCUGAAAAAAUGGAUUAAUUAUUGAUUCGAAGAGGGGAGUCGAACUAGAAUUGAACCAUCUCUUCUAAGGGCAAAUCCUACUAUUUCUCAAUUGAAGCAACAUAGUAAGAAGGUUGCAAAUAAUUUCAAGGCUUUGUCCUGCAUACAAUCUGCCAUUUUUGAUGCAAUAUUUACCU
rnacentral:lncRNA from 1 species